UUAGAUGGCACUACAUGCAGUAAACACUUCAGUAUUUCGCAAUCCUGUCUAAUCUCGUACACCGAAAGUAGCUCGGACUUCAUAAUCACAUGACGAUAUGACGAAUCAGUCCCAUGACGGCGACCACGUGACUAGGAGAUACAGUGCCCAGAGAGAGGUACAAAAGCCAGCAAGUAAGAGACACUGUGAUUGUUAUUGUUUCACGGCCCUAUUAUUCAAAGCAUGAGCUACCAGAAUCUCCCCAACAACUACGGCUCCGGAGGGGCACCCCCCGCCGGCGCAUACUACCAACAGCCUCAACCUAACACUGUGUACGUUGUCCGCGACGAACACCACCAUCAUCACCACGGCCACCACGACCACCACGACCACCACCGCGAUGAAGAAGUCGCCGCUGACUGUUGUCUCUUGGCUUGCUGUUGGACAGUGCUGUGUUGUUGCCUUGCUGCAAACUGACCAAUCGUAAACCUGGCUGGUAACGACCAACCAAUCACAAACCAUUUAAUAUGCAGGUGCAACGAGUUCAAUCUCUGUUGCCUCGUGGGUAUUCUUGAGUAUUUCAUGCCCAGAAUUUCAUUUGGAACCGAUGGUGUUAGUAUCCAUAUCGCCCAACGUUUUUUCGCUUUUUUUAAAGUUUAGGUUUGAGUAAAAAGAUAUUUAUGAAGAAAAGUAUUUCGAAAGAUCCAAUCCCAUUUUACUACGUUUUUCAACCAAUGAUAUUGCAGCAUCCACUCCCAUGUUGUAUAAUUGUAAACUUUAAUAGUAGUGUUCCUCCUUGUUGUAUAUAGUAAUCUACUGAUGUACAUAUUUAAAUUUCCCCGUCGCUUGUGACUAGCUUGUUGUUGUCAUAUGGUGUGAGGAACACGUCCAAUAUAUAUCGUUUUCAUACGAGAAUAUUUUGACGACGCAACUCGGUUUGGUGUGUCCUGUGUAGAUAUAGAGGGUGUUCUAGUGAAAUGUGUUGAACUGUUAUAUUGUUUAAGUAGGAGAGUAAUUUACUGCUAGAUUAAUGUUUGUGCUGUUUUAGUGAUCCAUUCUUACCUGGGACCAUGGGCGAGUGUGAGAGAGUAUUGAUCGGCGGUUAUAAUAAUACCACUUGCUUGACAACGGUAUAAGGGUCAAUACCAAAACAUAGAUAUUACAGUAUAAUAAAAAAACUUGUUAUCCAUAAA